AUUGAACGCUGGCGGCGUGCUUAACACAUGCAAGUCGAACGAAGUGGCGAACGGGUGAGUAACGCGUAAUCAACCUGCCCUUCAGAGGGGGACAACAGUUGGAAACGACUGAUAAUACCGCAUACUGAGGAAGGGGAUUGCGUCUGAUUAGCUGGUUGGAGGGGUAACGGCCAACCAAGGCGAUGAGCAGUAGCCGGUCUGAGAGGAUGAACGGCCACAGUGGGACUGGGACACGGCCCAGACUCCUAAGGGAGGGAGCAGGGGGGAAUCUUUCGCAAUGGACGGAAGUCUGACGGAGCAACGCCGCGUGAGUGAUGACGGCCUUCGGGUUGUAAAGCUCUGUUAAUCGGGACGCGGUACCGGAAUAGAAAGCCACGGCUAACUACGUGCCAGCAGCCGCGGUAAUUC
rnacentral:rRNA from 1 species